CCUACGGGAGGCAGCAGUAGGGAAUUUUCGUCAAUGGGCGCAAGCCUGACCCAGCAACGCCGCGUGAAGGAAGAAGGCUUUCGGGUUGUAAACUUCUUUUGUCAGGGAAGAGUAGAAGACGGUACCUGACGAAUAAGCCACGGCUAACUACGUGCCAGCAGCCGCGGUAAUACGUAGGAGGCAAGCGUUGUCCGGAUUUACUGGGUGUAAAGGGCGUGUAGCCGGGUUGACAAGUCAGAUGUGAAAUCCUGCGGCUUAACCGCAGAACUGCAUUUGAAACUGUUGAUCUUGAGUACUGGAGAGGCAGACGGAAUUCCUAGUGUAGCGGUGAAAUGCGUAGAUAUUAGGAGGAACACCAGUGGCGAAGGCGGUCUGCUGGACAGCAACUGACGGUGAGGCGCGAAAGCGUGGGGAGCAAACAGGAUUAGAUACCCGGGUAGUC
rnacentral:rRNA from 1 species